rnacentral:lncRNA from 1 species
CACAAAAGGACAAAUGCUGUAUGAUUCCAACUAGAUGAGGUACCUCAUACUAUUCAUCAAGACAAAGUAGAAUGAUGGGUGCCAGGGCUGGAUGGAGAAGAGAAUGGGGAGUCAGCGUUUAAUGGGGGCAGAGUUUCAGUUCUGCAAGAUGAAGAAGUUCUGGGGAUGGCUGGUGGUGCUGGCUGCACAAGAGGGUGAGUAUACUUGAUGUCACUGAAAUGUACACUUAAAAAUAGAGGAAGACGAAAGCCAGCGCAGAGUUUCCCCAGAAAACAGGAGCCAGAUGGUGCGAAUCCAACAGACUCCACGUGAAAUCAGCCACACCAAAGGUCAGGAGAUCUGUGUGGAGAGAAACUUUCAGAGAAGGCAACCAGGGCACAUCUCUGUUUUAAAACCAUCUCCUGGGCCGGGCACUGUGGCUCACGCCUGUAAUCCCAGCACUUUGGGAGGCUGAGAUGGGCAGAUCACUUGAGGCCAGGAGUUUGAGACCAGCCUGGCCAACAGGGUGAAACCCAAUCUCUACUAAAAAUACAAAAAUUAGCCAGGUAUGUUGCCCAUCUAUAAUUCCAGCUACUCAGGAGGCUGAGGCACGGGAAUCCCUUGAACCGGAGAGGCGGAGGUUGCAAUGAGCCGAGAUCGUGUCACUGAACUCCAGCCUGUGUGACAGAGCGAGUCUCUGUCUCAAAAAACAAAACGAAACAAAACCCACAAAAAUAAAACCAUCUCCCUACCAUGAGCCCUCCACAUUUGCAAUUCAUGAAAAUGGAAAGCUGUCAUGUCCCCACGUGAAUUUUCGGGUCUCACUAGAAAGAUAACCAUCAGGACCGGCAACAUGGGAUUCAACAACAGUUUCUGGUCUAAUUUUUUAAAAAGGACGAAAGAAGGCAGGCUGGUGUCAUGCAAUACUGCUUGCAUUAAAGUAUGUACAUUUAAACUAUGUACCUUGAACUUUUAUUGGAAAAGCGAAGCUCAGUAGUAAAAAUUUACGUUAAUCAAAUUCAUGGAGACAGAAAGUUGCAUGGGAGUUGCCAAGGGCUGGGGAAAGCAAUGCCCACUCCACCUUCAGCUCUGUGAAUUUGGGGAGUCA